CCCCGUUUAGCUCAGCGGUAGAGCGGUCGCCUGUAGAGCGAUAGGUCGAGAGUUCGAAUCUCUCAACGGGGA
rnacentral:tRNA from 1 species